rnacentral:rRNA from 1 species
GAUGAACGCUGGCGGCGUGCCUAAUACAUGCAAGUCGAGCGAACAGACGAGGAUCUUGCUCCUCUGACGUUAGCGGCGGACGGGUGAGUAACACGUGGAUAACCUACCUAUAAGACUGGGAUAACUUCGGGAAACCGGAGCUAAUACCGGAUAAUAUAUUGAACCGCAUGGUUCAAUAGUGAAAGACGGUUUUGCUGUCACUUAUAGAUGGAUCCGCGCCGCAUUAGCUAGUUGGUAAGGUAACGGCUUACCAAGGCAACGAUGCGUAGCCGACCUGAGAGGGUGAUAGGCCACACUGGAACUGAGACACGGUCCAGACUCCUACGGGAGGCAGCAGUAGGGAAUCUUCCGCAAAGGGCGAAAGCCUGACGGAGCAACGCCGCGUGAGUGAUGAAGGUCUUCGGAUCGUAAAAAUCUGUUAUUAGGGAAGAACAAAUGUGUAAGUAACUAUGCACGUCUUGACGGUACCUAAUCAGAAAGCCACGGCUAACUACGUG